rnacentral:rRNA from 1 species
AGUGAACGCUGGCGGUAGGCCUAACACAUGCAAGUCGAACGGCAGCACAGAGGAGCUUGCUCCUUGGGUGGCGAGUGGCGGACGGGUGAGGAAUACAUCGGAAUCUACUCUGUCGUGGGGGAUAACGUAGGGAAACUUACGCUAAUACCGCAUACGACCUACGGGUGAAAGCAGGGGAUCUUCGGACCUUGCGCGAUUGAAUGAGCCGCUGUCGGAUUAGCUAGUUGGAGGGGUAAAGGCCCACCAAGGCGACGAUCCGUACCUGGUCUGCGAGGAUGAUCAGGCACACAGGAACUGAGACACGGUACAGACUCCUACGGGAGGCAGAAGUGGGGAAUAUUGGACAAUGGGCGCAAGCCUGAUCCAGCCAUACCGCGGGGGUGUAGAAGGCCUUCGGGUUGUAAAGCCCUUUUGUUGGGAAAGAAAUCCAUCUGGUUAAUACCCGGAUGGGAUGACGGUACCCAAAGAAUAAGCACCGGCUAACUUCGUGCCAGCCGCCGCCGUAA